rnacentral:rRNA from 1 species
UACGGAGGGUGCGAGCGUUAAUCGGAAUUACUGGGCGUAAAGCGUGCGUAGGCGGUUUGCUAAGUCAGAUGUGAAAGCCCCGGGCUCAACCUGGGAACUGCAUUUGAAACUGGCCGACUAGAGUUGGGUAGAGGAGAGCGGAAUUUCAGGUGUAGCGGUGAAAUGCGUAGAGAUCUGAAGGAACACCUGUGGCGAAGGCGGCUCUCUGGACCUAAACUGACGCUGAGGCACGAAAGCGUGGGUAGCAAACAGGAUUAGAUACCCCCGUAGUCC